CAGGAAGUGAGCCCAGAGAGAGAAGACGCAAGUCGCGGAAACUAAGAGAAGAAACGCUCCAGGGAGGAGGGAACGCUCAGUUGUGGCAAAUACUGCCGAGAGGUGUGGACUUACUUCCACGGCCCUCUGCCUGCUCAUCACUGCUGGCUCCUGUUACUGCCCAAGCUGAUGCACACGGAGACCGGAAAGAGACCCCCUGAGCGUGCAAGCAUGUGUGUACAGUUCCAGACCCGCCCUGCUCCUGAGUGAUGGAUUUAUCUGGUUUUAGGACAGGUUGACCCCAGAGGUCUGAGCAGUUUUACGUUAGUUUCACUGAUUUGAGUCACUUUAGGUCAGUUUAAGCACAUUUGCAUCUACGGUAGUCCCCCCUUCUCGGAUGUUUUCCAUGUUUUAGUUGCCUACAGUCAACCGAGGUCAGAGGUCAAUAGUAGCCACGUCAUUCGCCUCCCUUCAUCUCAUCACGGAGGCGCUUUAUCAUCUCGCAGCAUCGCAAGAAGAAGGGUGAGUGCAGUACAAUAAGGUAUUUUGAGAGAGAAAGAGACGGCAUUCAUAUACCUUUUAUUACAGUAUAUGGUUAUAAUUGUUCUACUUUAUUAUAGUUAUUGUUGUUAAUCCCUUACUGUGCCUACUUUAUAAAUUAAACUUUAUCACAGGUACGAAUAUAUAGGAGGAAACAUAGCAUAUAUAGGGUUUGGUACCAAGCGCGGUUUCAGGUGUCCCCUGGGGGUCCUGGAACAUAUCCCGCGCAGGUGAGGGGGGACUGCUGUCCUUCACUAUUCCGAGUUCAUUUGUUCUGUUUUGAUUUGGGGUAGUUUAAUAAUAGCAGACACUUAUCUUGUCCUUGUGAUAUGUCAGCACUGCCGAGUCCAGAUGCUUUAAAUAGUGUCAGGAACCCUCACAACUAACCUGCAGGUAGGAACUGUUAUGAGCGUCCUCGUGUUACACAUGGAGAAACUGAGGCACAGAGAGCUUAAGAAACUUGCCCCACAUUUCGCGGUUACUGAGAGGGGGAGCCGGGAUUUGAACCUGCUCCUUCUGGCCCCUGAGUCUGUGCUCCGAACCUCCAGAUGAAGCCGUACCACCGCAGACAAGGGUUUGAACCACUUCGAGAUAAAGCGAUUUUGUCUGAGCCGGUUUGUUCUGCUCUUGCCAACACGAGUUGCUUGGUGCUGGCUCCAUCUGCAUAGAGCCUUGCAUUCCGCACAGUCCAAUGGACACAGAGCUCAGGCCACUUCCAUCCUUGACAUGGAAGACCACUGUGUCAGUCUCCUAGGGCUGCGCUAACAAAGUGCCACAAACUUGGCUGCUUAACACAUUCUCACAGUUCUGGAGCUGGAAGCUCGAACGCAAGGCGUCAGCAGGGCCGUGCUCUGUGGGGAGAAUCCAUGUCUUGCCUCCUCCAGCUUCUGGUGGCUCCAGGUGUUCCUGGGCUUGUGGCCACAUUGCUCCAAUCUCUGCAUCCACGGUCACAUUCCUCCUCCUCCUCUGUCUGUGUCCCCUGUGUGUCUCUUAUAAGGACACUUGCCAGUGGAUUUAGGGCCCACCCAGAUAUCCAGGAUGAUCUCAUCUCAAGAGCCUUAACUUAAUUAUCUCUGCAAGGAUGUUUUUUCCAAAUAAGGCAACGUUCCCAGGUUCCUGGGGUUAGGACAUGGACAUAUAUCUUUUUUGGAGCCUCCAUGUGACCCAUUACAACCACGAAGGUCACAUCACAGGAUGUUCCCUUGAGGACCCGGCUCUUAAAAGUGCCUCUUCCUACUGGGUUGGUAUUCACCCAACUUUUGGGGUCUGAUCACUUUCUGCUCAGGGAUUGGAAGGUGAAAGGAGAAAACGCGCUUGCAGCCUUGGAAGAGCCUCUUGUACUUUUCAGGACUAUUUAUUAACACUGCGGGCUGGGAAGAUCAGGACUUCCCGGAAACGUCAAGGGAGGUGUGGAAUGUUACUGCAAACAGGCACUCGAAGAUAGUACCAGCUUUCUAAGAUGUUUGCUGGUGGUAACACCAAGCUCACUGUGCCUGGGAGAGCUUUCUUUAGGGAAAGUGAUGCUGAAUUGAAGAGGGGCAGAUAACUCAGAGAUGAAGGGGAGCCGUUCACCCCAAGUAUCCCUGGGCCUGGGGUUGAAAGAAGCUGGCAAUUCAGAUAGAGAUAGAGAUAGAGAAAUAGACUGAGCAAGUAGACUUCGCAAAGAAACCGCACUCAGAGGUCCUUUGUGCUCAAAUGGCCCCCAAAUGCCAAUGAUGCAGAAAUAUUACCAAAAAGGGAAAGCUGUGUUUCCAUUUUUUGCACUCCCUACUUGCACCGACAACUGACAACCGACGACUAAGGGUGAGAGACAACUCAGUCCUUGGACAGUUGUGGCCUCUGCAGGGGCUUGGGCUCCAGGUCCUGCUCUGCCCCUAACAGCUGUGAGACCUCAGGCAAGCCAGAAAGUCUUUCAGAGUCUUGACUUUCCCAUCUGUAAAUUGCGAUAAUUGGAUUACCGGGGAAACAGCCCAUGUUUGGCACAUGCUGUGUCUGGCAGGGAACACACUAUCAGACAGAUUUGCAGGCCAGGGUCAUUACAGAUUUAUGGUCAGCAACCUCAACUGGGCACCCGCACUGCCGGAAAUCCCACUGUUUCUCUAUCGGGCUGGCUUGUGAUAACUGUGUCACCUCUAAUCCUUGGUCCUCCUUCCCUUCCUCUUUUCCCCUCUCACGUAGGCUGUAACUUGCUCCCACCCCACUGGGAAAAUAGAAGCGGCCAGAGGAGGCAACCUCGCCUUUUCAGGGCUGACGCUACAAACCUGUCUCUUCUCUCUGUCUCGCAGACGAUUGUCCCUGCUUCUGUCAAAGGCCAGGUCUGGCUUCCUGUGCUCCGAAUUCCCUCCCCUCUUACUUUCUCAAGGACUUUUGCCUGGGUAAUCCCCUCUCUCUGGGUCAUCAGUUCCUCCCCUCCUACGGGUCACUGCCAUCAGCACAGAGACACGGUUCUGUAGCUUCCCUAUUUGGACGAAACCCUCCCUGGCCGCUCUCUUCCCUUCCAGCCACUGCCCCAUUUCUCUGCUUCCAUUUGCACCAACACUUUCUAAAAAGUCGCCUGUGAUGUUCUCUCCAGUUCGUUGGCUCCUGUUAACUGUUCCGCCCAUUCCAAUCCAGCUUCCAUCCUCACUCUUCCAUUAAG
ensembl:lncRNA